rnacentral:rRNA from 1 species
UACGUAGGGUGCAAGCGUUGUCCGGAAUUAUUGGGCGUAAAGGGCUCGUAGGCGGUCCAUCGCGUCGGGAGUGAAAAGCUGGGGCUUAACCCCAGUCCUGCUUCCGAUACGGGUGGACUAGAGGUAGGUAGGGGAGAUCGGAAUUCCUGGUGUAGCGGUGAAAUGCGCAGAUAUCAGGAGGAACACCAAUUGCGAAGGCAGCUCGCUGGAACGUAACUGACGCUGAGACGCGAAAGCGUGGGGAGCAAACAGG